CUAUUACCAGUUUACUACACAGAAACGCAGACACGGGGUUUAGGGCUUUGGCGGUUCAGCUUCUGCCUUUUUCCUCUCGCCAGUCUUCCAUAUUUCCUCUCCCUCAUCUCCCUCGGUUCACCGGCGCCGCUGCUUGUCUCCUCAGUACAGUCCACUGCGUGUCUCCCCUCCGGUGCAUGUUCUCCCCUGCCGCUGCGUGUUCUCUAUCUCAGGUACAACAAAUCUGUGAGAUGCUUCAUCUUCCUUCUUCGCGGCAACAUUGCAGACGAUUCUCAUGAAAAAUAAAACUGUGAUCUGUGUGCACCUUGGUUGAAAACCCUAGGACGGUUGCUGAUAGUUGCAAGUUAAAUCUUUGGAAAGGAAAAGAGAUGGCCCAAACCACAGAGGGAGCAACGGAAUCUGUAGAGGCAGUUCAUUUCAGCUUCUAUACAGAUGAGGAGAUUACCAAACUCAGUGCUAAAAAGAUUACGAAUCCUAUUCUACUUGACAGUGUGGAGAGACCUGUGCCUGAUGGACUGUAUGAUCCGGCAUUGGGCCCAAUGGAUGAAAGGA